ACGGAAGGCAGCAGUGGGGAAUAUUGGGCAAUGGGCGAAAGCCUGACCCAGCGACGCCGCGUGAGGGAAGACGGUCUUCGGAUUGUAAACCUUAGUCAACAGGGAAGAAACAAAUGACGGUACCUGUGGAGGAAGCCACGGCUAACUACGUGCCAGCAGCCGCGGUAAUACGUAGGUGGCAAGCGUUAUCCGGAAUUACUGGGUGUAAAGGGUGUGUAGGCGGGAAGGCAAGUCAGAUGUGAAAAUUAUGGGCUUAACUCAUAACCUGCAUUUGAAACUGUUUUUCUUGAGGGACGGAGAGGUAAACGGAAUUCCCAGUGUAGCGGUGAAAUGCGUAGAUAUUGGGAGGAACACCAGUGGCGAAGGCGGUUUACUGGACGUCAACUGACGCUGAGACACGAAAGCGUGGGGAGCAAACAGGAUUAGAUACCCUGGUA
rnacentral:rRNA from 1 species